rnacentral:rRNA from 1 species
CCCUUAGAUGUUCUGGGCAGCACGCGCGCUACAAUGGUCUUCGCAAACGGAUGCAUUCUCGAAGGAGAAUGCCAAUCUUGGAAUCUAUGCCUUGGUCGGGACAGUUGCUUGCAAUUUUUCGACUCGAACCAGGAAUUCCUUGUAAUCGUGAUUCAUCGCAUCACGAUGAAUACGUCCCUGCCCUUUGUACACACCGCCCGUCGCUCCUACCGAUUGGAUGGUUUAGUGAGACCCUCGGAUCGGUCCCGACUCGGGGUGGGCUUCUGCCCCGGUCGUGGUUUCGCCGAGAAGACGGUCAAACUUGACUAUCUAGAGGAAGUAAAAGUCGUAACA